rnacentral:lncRNA from 14 species
AGAAGACACUGCAGAAGAGCUGAAUUCAGAAAAUUGGGUGAAACUUCUCUGUCAAAACUUCACAAUGACCUUAACAAGCUGGGUAUCAGUGCUACUGGCAUUCCUUCUCUUACAUUUUUGGAGACCAAAGGUUUAUGCUUCUGGAAACUCAGAGGAGGAAAUAGAUUUUACAUACGUUGUUAUAGGAGUCACUCUGGGAGCAUUUCUAACAAUUGCUUUUGUAGCAGUAAUAAUCUGCAUGAUCAAAAAACAGAUGAUUGACAAUGUUUUCGGUGAGUCAGAUGGCAAACCGGAUAGAAGGUCAAACAUGGGAUCAAGCCAAAACAGAGAAGACACCAAUGUACCAGGAAAACAAAGUACAAAUGAUCAAUAAACCUUUUGCAAUCAGCAGUUACCUGGUCUGAGGAUCAAUAAAAAUCUCUUGUAUGCAGGCA